UUGGUGCCAUAUCUACAAGUGGCUGGUGACUGUAAGUAUCUCAGCAACCUGCAUGCAUCUAUGCCAUUCCUAUCAUGGUGCAUGGAGCAAGCUUCACAUAACACUCAGACAGAGACAGUUUAAUUAUGGUUACAUAUCAGACUCAGUUUAUUGCUCAGUCUAUUAGGUGCAGUGCUGUUAAUAUUGUUAGUGGUAGUAUUAGUACAAUUAAUGUAUUUAUUUUCAUUAAUUUAUGAAUAUUUAUUUAUAUUCUUAGUGUUUGAAAAUUCCAAUACUAGUAUUAAGAUAAACAAAAAUAUCAGAAAUAUAUUUAUACUCAUUAAUUAUUAUUGCUUUUCUUAUUAUUACUUCCUUCAAUGUCCUGGCACUUUGACAUCUAGUGCUUUUCCGUCUAGCAGCCAAAAUUGUGGUCUUUCUGAAUGUGUAUGCCUUAAGUCUUCAUUGGUGUAACUAGCUCUUUAACAUAAAAAUCUGCAUCUCUCUCCCUUCUCACCCAGUUAUCCCCGUACAUCCUUUCAGUAUCCAAAGAAUUUUUUCUGUAUUUUACCGUGUGGACAUACUCUUUCCUUCCAUGUUCCACUGUCGUAUGUUAUUCCACAUCUAACACAACCACAUCCCAACAGAUCCGAACACGUCCGAUAUCAUCCAAGAGAAUGUGGCAGCUGAAGGGGGAGAGUUCAAGAAAGAGGCCAAAGGUGAAGACAUUUAGCCACCCCCCCUGAAGUACAUGGCAGCAUUCAACCCUCUUGGUGAGCUGCAGGAAUGUGCUUCCCAUUGCAGUGCACCAGCUCCAUGUACUGAUUUUGGGUGUGAACUUGAUGGGGUUGGAGGAAACUCGACUCUGCCAUCAAGCUCACCACAAUAUAACAUGAAAAGUGAAAAUUGCUGCACACAACAGUCUGCCGUCUGCACCGGGAGGCAAGGCAGCUCAAAGCCCAGGCUGUUACAACUCCUGGGCAGUUUUUGCCCAGAGCCAGCAAUUUUUUAGAUCCAAUAGGGGUGGAUUUUUUCUGAGGUCAGGUUCAACAUGCUGCAAGAUGCCAAGAUCUAAGCCCAGUAGAAGAUAUGGGUUACAAGAGAGGAGGUUUGCUCUGGCCUUAUACUAUCAAAGUCCAAAUGCUAAUAGAUUUCUGAGCACAGUAUUUCACUUGCCUUCAGUUUCAACACUUCACUCAUGACUCAGGGGUAUUUCAGUAAAUGUUGGCUGGAGCAAACAGACUCUGACAACCCUGCAGCAAAGAGCACAGGCUUUGUCAAAAGAAGAGAAACUUCGUGGGAUUUGCCAUUAUUUAGUAUUACUCUUGUUACGCCAAGAAUUUUUUCCAUAUACUUUGCCAAAUAUUGCAAGUAAUGCACCAUUGUUGGGCUUGCCUGUUAUAAAUCAGAUCUUGUUCAAUUAACAAGCUUUGGGUGUCUGCCACUUUCCAGUUGUAAUGCAAGGAAUCAUUUAUCUUCCCUGCUAGAUAUCACAUGUAAUGCACCAUUGUUGGUUUUGCCUGUUAUAAAUCAGAUCUCGUUCAGUUAACAAGCUUUAGGUGUCUGCCACUUUCCAAUUCUAAUGCAAGGAAUCCCCUGCCAGAUAUCGCAUGUAAUGCACCAUUGUUGGUCUUGCCUGUUAUAAAUCAGGUCUUGUUCGGCUCACAAGUUUUGAAUAUCUGCCAUUGUUUAUUUCAGGUGUAAUGCUUGGAAGCAUUUGUUCUCUUCCCUAGCCAUCAGUAUGCAAUGCUUUAUUGUGGAUUUUGCCUGUUAAUCUUGUUCAGGUAACAAGCUUUUGGUGUCUGCCUUACCUAAUAUGUGCUGCAGUGACACUUGGCUUGGUUUCAUAAUGUAAAAUACAGCUUGUAAUUUCAUCACACUAAGUGUCUAUCAUCACGUGUCUGGCAUCAUGAAUGUGGCUUCCAGGAGUAAUCUUGUUUGUAUUACAGCAUGCAAUGUUUUUUCUGCUCUAUAUGAUAUACAUAAUCACAUAGGUGUGAUUUUUUUUUUUUUUUUGACAAAAUGUAAUGGCAGUUAAUAUUCUUGACUAAUGCCUCAUAAACCUUGUGAAAAAUAAUGCUUUUUUGAAGGGGGGAGGGGGGGGGGGGGCAGAGAGUGGUUUGUUUGGUUGGCCAGUUCAAGGAGUUUCAUAUCAAAUGAUUUUAUUACAUCCAACUUUAAUGUGUGCUAAAAACAUAUAUUUUAUUACAUCCAACUUUAAUGUGUGGUUCCUGCAAUAAAUGCUACAUGUUUACUGAUGUAGCCUAUGAAAUACAUAUCACUCUCUGCCCUGUGAUUUGGUAUGUCACAUACUGCAGCAUAACUUUCCUGCUAUUUUCUUACACUAUGAGUUGCCUUAUUUUGUCUCACUUGCUUUUAUCAUAUGUGCCUCCGCUGCAUAGUUGUGCCUACUGAGCUUAAUAUCUUCAUGACCAUGACACCAAGGUCAGAGCUUGUGAGAUCAUAUCAUGUCCUACAUCUCAUUUUCACCUCCAGUCUCGGCUGUCUCCCAGGACCACCAAGUUAUUGCAUUCCAUUUAAGACAACUCAUGUGUUACCUUCUUGAUGUCCUCCAUCAUGUAUUUCAGAAUGUUUUAUGGUGCUUUGCUCUUAUAUUGAUGUGCCUUGCAACAUUUUUAUAUAGUUUUCAUUGUAUAUAACGCACCAUUGUUGGUUUUGCCUGUUAUAAAUCGGGUCAUGUUCAGUUAACAAGCUUUGAGUGUCUCCCAUUGUUUAUUUCAGUUGUAAUGAUUAGAAGCUUUUGUUCUCUGCCCUGUCAAGCAGUAUGCAAUGCUUGCCAUUAUCUGGCACUUGUACAGUUAGUAUGAUAUUUUUGCUCAGCUAAGAGCAUGUUGCAAAAGGUAAAGGUACGGAGUGGGGCAUACGCUGU